rnacentral:rRNA from 1 species
AGACGUCUACAUUAGAUACCCCCUGUAAGUCCCAGCCGUAAACUAUGCGCGUUAGGUGUAUCGGUGACCACGAGUUACCGAGGUGCCGAAGGGAAACCGUGAAACGUGCCGCCUGGGAAGUACGGUCGCAAGGCUGAAACUUAAAGGAAUUGGCGGGGAGCACCACAACAGGUGGAGCCUGCGGUUUAAUUGGACUCAACGCCGGGAAGCUCACCGGAUAGGACAGCAGAAUGAUUGCCGGGCUGAAGACCCUGCAUGACUAGCUG